rfam:Pseudomonas aeruginosa PAO1, complete genome.
GGUCUGCUCUUCUUCUUCCCGGGCACACCAGCCGCAGCGAAAUUCGCGGCCGAGCUGUCUGUGCCGCUCGU